UCUAAAAAUGGAUCCCACCAGAACACAAAGACUAAGUCUAUGAGGAAAAUAAAGUUUUAGAUCAACGACUAAAAAUUGUCAUGAACAGAUAAAAUAUGAGAUAGAGAUAGAACUGGUAUGAAAGGUGACAGUAGAACAUUGAAAUAAUUUGAAAGAAACAAGUUGGCAAAGAUAUAUAUCACAUGCAUAGGAAGAGCAAUGGAAAAUAACAUUGAAGCAGAAUUAUGAAACAGUUAUUAAAAAAACCCAUUAAAUUGAGAGAGAGAAAAACGAGAUUUUUUUACUUUUUAAUGCUGUUCAUUCUUAAGAUUACUGUUUAUUGUAUUUCGAUGGAAGUUAUUGCAGUUGAUAAGAAGAUAGAACAAAAAUUUGAGUUCUUCAGCUUGUUUUAUUCAGUCAAUAAAAAUUAAUUUUGAAAAGCAAA